UACGUAGGGGGGCUAGCGUUGUCCGGAAUCAUUGGGCGUAAAGCGCGUGUAGGCGGUCCGGUAAGUCCGCUGUGAAAGUCGGGGGCUCAACCCUCGAAAGCCGGUGGAUACUGUUGGGCUAGAGUACGGAAGAGGCGAGUGGAAUUCCUGGUGUAGCGGUGAAAUGCGCAGAUAUCAGGAGGAACACCAAUUGCGAAGGCAGCUCGCUGGGACGUUACUGACGCUGAGACGCGAAAGCGUGGGGAGCAAAC
rnacentral:rRNA from 1 species